CCUACGGGAGGCAGCAGUGGGGGAUAUUGCACAAUGGAGGAAACUCUGAUGCAGCGACGCCGCGUGAGGGAAGACGGUCUUCGGAUUGUAAACCUCUGUCUUUGGGGAAGAAAAUGACGGUACCCAAAGAGGAAGCUCCGGCUAACUACGUGCCAGCAGCCGCGGUAAUACGUAGGGAGCGAGCGUUAUCCGGAUUUACUGGGUGUAAAGGGAGCGUAGGCGGUUUAGCAAGUCAGAAGUGAAAGCCCGGGGCUCAACUCCGGGACUGCUUUUGAAACUGUUGAACUAGAUUGCAGGAGAGGUAA
rnacentral:rRNA from 1 species